GCCUACGGACGCAGCAGUGGGGAAUAUUGGGCAAUGGGCGCAAGCCUGACCCAGCAACGCCGCGUGAAGGAAGAAGGCUUUCGGGUUGUAAACUUCUUUUAUGAGGGGCGAAACAAAUGACGGUACCUCAUGAAUAAGCCACGGCUAACUACGUGCCAGCAGCCGCGGUAAUACGUAGGUGGCAAGCGUUAUCCGGAUUUACUGGGUGUAAAGGGCGUGUAGGCGGGACUGCAAGUCAGAUGUGAAAAUUAUGGGCUCAACCCAUAACCUGCAUUUGAAACUGUAGUUCUUGAGUGAUGGAGAGG
rnacentral:rRNA from 1 species